AGAAAUGGGCUGGGGACAUGCAUGGCUCAGUUACAGAGUACUCUCCUAGUAUACUCGAAGUUCCCCAGUCCUACAACAAACUAACUAAAAAAUAAUAUUUCUUGACCUUGUGUUCCAUCUGAAAAUAUUGGUAUUAAAAUUAUAAUCUAUGUAUUGUUACUAGUCUUGGUUAUUUUCAUAAUGGAUGUUGAGCUUUGAUAAGAGACCUACAAUCUAAAGACUUCUUUAACCACAACAGAGAAAAAAAAGAAGCAUGUAGUGAAUGAGAGAGGAAAGAGUUACAGCAGAAUCAUGCCCUGACUAGAAGGUACUAGGGCAGUCAGGAAACCCAACACUUCUCUCUGGUUUAGGCCACCAUUAAGAUUUCCCACCAACUUAACACACCACAGUUCUUCUAGAGAACGAUUAAUUUAUUCCCAUCUGUAUUGAGCAGAUGGAUAGUGGAAGGGUCAGCUUAUUUACCCUAGAGCUCAGAGAGAAAAUGGACCACAGGAAACAUGCUGCAUACACCUGGACAGGACGUAACCAAGGAGACCAUGCAUGAAGAGCCGAGUGUAAGUCUGGAAGAGAUGAUCAGCGUGGGGAGGGACCCAACAGCUGUGUCACAGAGCUGAGAUGAUCGCCUGGGAUGAGUGGCUUGGCUUAGUGUGUGUGUGUGUGUGUGUGUGUGUGUGUGUGUGUGUGUGUGUGGUAGUUAGACUGUGAGGGUACAAACAGCUCCUGCUUCUGUGGCUCUGGCUUUCAGGCCCACUCAGGAACAGGAAACAAGGUCUGUCUAAGGAAGGGAGCCAGGAUAAGAACCUGCACACCUUCAGGGAAAGUGUGGGUUAGGAAACAAAAUGAAAUAAAACUACCUGUCUGAUGGCUCAGCAAGAUACUAGGAACGCAGAUAUUUCCUCUGCUGGGCCCUUGGUGAACCAGGGCUCUCACACAGGUUAAAUCUGAAUCUGUAUAGCCCAGAAGGAUGGAGACUCACAAGCUAAAGUCUUCAGAUAAAAGGGAACCCAGGCUGCUUACCAGUUUGAUUUACCCCGAGAGUAAAAGUGGUAAUCCUUUGCUGAAGGACUUCUCCAGAAUCUAGGAUGAGAGGAAUUGCACAGAGUGCACAAGCCACAGUAGAGAUGAGAACACUGCCCACCAUGUUCACGAGAUGGAGGAUGCGAUGACCAGGACCAGCGAGCCUGGAAACUGGGGUAUGGGAAGGUAAAGGAAAAAUAUGAGCUUGUCUAAAUUUAAUAAAGAAUGUGCUUCAAAACAAAAACAAAAACAAAACAAAACCAACAACUUUUAAAAAUUCCAGCACUUGGGAGGCAGAGGAAGGCAUAUUUCUGAGUUUGAGGCCAGCCUGGUCUACAGAGUGAGUUCCAGGACAGUCAGGGCUACACAGAAACCCUGUCUCAAAAAACCAACCCCUCCCUCAAAAAAUAAAAAGGAUGUGCUCAUAAAUGACACAUAUACAAAGUUGCUUACUGCAGUGUUGCUUACAAAAACAAAGCAAAGCAAACAUGAGGAGAACCUGGACACAACAACCCAUGUGCUUGUUUGGAGGACUGACUAAAAAACAAACAAACAAACAAACAAAAAAACAGAGCAAACCAACAGUGAAGAAAUAUCCCAUGUUUACUAAUAUGAACCAAGGGAUGUCUUAGUAAUUAAAAACAACGUUUAUAUACUUAGCCAUUUGAUUAAAGAAGUGUGUGCAUGUGUGUGUGUGAAAACAAUUUAUAUUUGUGUGUAUAGUAACAUUGAACAAUUUUUAGAAAACUAAUACAUGGUGCUGGGUAGGUUAUAAGCCUGGGGGAAGAGAGAGCCACUGGGCCUGGCUUGAGUGUUUCAAACCCCAAAUGUAGUCUCUCCUCCCCCAGCCUGAAACCUGCUUGCUCGGGGUGGAGCUUCCUGCUCAUUCGUUCUGCCACGCCCACUGCUGGAACCUGAGGAGCCACACACGUGCACCUUUCUACUGGACCAGAGAUUAUUCGGCGGGAAUCGGGUCCCCUCCCCCUUCCUUCAUAACUAGUGUCCCAACAAUAAAAUUUGAGCUUUGAUCAG
rnacentral:lncRNA from 1 species